rnacentral:lncRNA from 1 species
AUCAUUUGUUUUAAACAUAAUGAUUUAAAAGGGUUUUCUUUAUGUAUCAUAGUGUGGUAUAUGAGCCACUGCAAUUUAUUAUACCUAAUGAUUAUUAGCAUAUUUAAUUUAAUAUAAUAGAAAAUAGGUCUGUAUGUUGUUUUUUUUUUUUCUAUAGAUUUAACUUUGAGGUAAUUAGUUUUGAAGACAGAGAUAGUUGCCAAUUAUUUUUCUCAUCAAAGUAAAACAUUUUAAAUUUCUAGUGCUUAAUACAAUGAAAUUUGCAUAAUGGUAUAAGAUCUGCCUUAUUCUCCAGAAACAAUCUGUAGAGCAGAAUAAUACCUCCCUUGAAAGGAUACUCAUUUAAACAGAAUUAGUGCAGAUUUUUUUCUGUACUCCGGGGUAAUGUUAGAAUCUAACUCAUUAUAUGGGUGGAGCACUUGGUAAUACUUGAUAUUAAAUAAAAUUAUAUUUAUAAAAUAUCUAGAACACUGUCAGGUAUGCAGUAAGAGCUGGACCAACCUCAGUUUCUCUUUGAUGGCACAGGAGUCUUCAUUUUACCCAAGCUUCAUACACACACAAAAUAAUAUCUAAAGUGAUGAAGGUCUUCCUCAAGAGCUCCUAUAUUAGUUUCCCAGGGCUUCUGUCACAAAGUAUCACAAACUGGGUGGCUUAAAACAACAGAUUUUUGGAGUUCCUGUUGUGGCUCAGAGGUAACAAAUCCAACCAGUAUCAAUGAAGAUAUGGAUUCGAUCCCUGGCUUUUCUCAGUGGGUCAAGGAUCCAUCGUUGCGGUGAGCUGUGGAGUAGGCCACAGUGUGUUAUUUGACCCUUAGCCUGGGAACUUCCAUAUGCCUCAGGGGUGGCCCUGAAAAGCAAAAAACAAACCAGACCGAGAGACAAGAUGGCAGAAGAGUUGGGGGCCACGCUUGCCCUCUCCCACAAACACAACAACAACCAAAAAACACAUCUACAGGUGAAACGACUCGCACAGAGCAGCAGUAAUCGCUGGCAGAAGAACCUAAACUCCAAUAACGGCAAGACAUAACUGGGUAAAACAAGACAAAAGAGGAGAGUGAGAGAAGGGGAAUUAGGGCUGGAUGGGUGUUCCUGAAAGGGAACUGUGGAGGAGAAAGGGAUCCCACACCCUGGAAAGUCACCUACUUGACGGAAAGAUCAACUGAAUUGGAGGGAUCUCCAGAUGCAGAGAAGAGUGCAGCAAUAAGUCUGAGAGCUGAAGAGCAGAGUAAGGACCGAACAGAUCAUCCAAACUACUGACCCAGUCAUCAAAAAUGGAGAUGCUUGGAUGGGGGCUGGGCACCAAGACCUCGGUUCCGGAGGUUAGUCCCCGGGAAUGGGCUGGGGUGGGCGGUGCAGAGACUGUUUGGGGAACUAGGAACUGGUCAGUCGGGUUCACAGGGAAGAGACUGCCCCGGGGGUCUAGGAAGCCGUCUGUCGGAUUGGCAGGGCAGAGACUGCCUGGGAGUCUAGAGAGUGGAGCAUGGCGGGUGGAGGAGCAAUACACUAAGGGCUGGGGAGUGGAAAGCCACAUCAGAGGGAACCUGGAAGAAGAGCUGGAUCUGCAGGAGAGACAAGGCGCCAGUGUUGAGGAGGGUAGAGGAGAAGGGGUGGGCCAUCAUAGAAUACUCCCCACACCACAGCGAGCUCACUUGCCCACCAGCUAUCAGAAAGCUGUGCUUCCCAGUGCAUCUUCCCUCCCCCUGCCCCAUGCUUGCGAGCGCCAGACUUGAGACUGCCUGCCAUCCCGGAGGGCUGGCCUCACCAUUUGCGGGAAGCCAACCACCACAGGGGCUUUUGCUGCUCUGGCCUGCCUGCCCCCUGGAGGGGCUACACCCCCGCAAAGCAGCACCUAGCACCACCAACCCCCUGGAAAAGAACCGCAGCCCAGAAAAGCUAGAACAAGCUCUGCCUGGCUGUGCAAUAUCUGCCUCUAUCCCUAGGUGGUCCUGCCAAUUCACCUGCCCUGGGGAAGAGCCCCUUGGGUUCUCAGCGGCCCAGCUAGCUGUUCUCACACUCCGGGGGGCGGGGGUGGUGGUGCUGCACUCCUGUGGAAUAGCUGCCCAGCACCGCCAGCUGCCUGGAAGAGCCCCACAGCCCAAAAACACCAGAGCAAGCUCUGGCUGGCUGCGUGAAAUCUGCUUCCAUCUCAGUGCAGACCUCCCAGUCCUGUCUGCCCUCACGAAGUCCUCCUUUGUUUCAGAGAGACCCUGUUAGCCCUGUCCACCCUCAUAAAAGCCAUGCUGCCUCAAAGAAGACCCACCAACACCACCAGCCCUCGGGAAACAUUCCAUAGCAGUGCCAAGGCAAACUCUGCCCGGCCACGGUGAGUACAACUCCACCAAAAAAAAAGAAAACAACAAGCAAGAUGAAGAAGCUGAGAAACCACCCCCAGUUAAACCAACAGGAGAACUCACUUAAAGCAGUCAACAAUGAAACAGACCUCUGCACUCUGACAGACUUGGAAUUCAAAAGGGAAAUAGUGAAAAUACUGAAGGAAUUAAGAGACGAUAUGAAUAGUAAUGCAGACACCCUCAGAAAGGAACUAGAAAAUAUAAGGAGGAGUCAAGAAAAAUUAGAAAAUUCAUUUGCAGAGAUACAAACUGAACUAAGGGCAGUAAAAACCAGAAUGAAUAAUGCAGAAGAAUGAAUUAGUGAUGUGGAAGAUAGAAUGAUGGAAAUCACACAAUCAGGUCAGCAGACAGAAAACCAAAUGAGAAAACAUAAAAUCAAUAUAAGAAACCUAAGGGAUAAUAUAAAGCGGUCCAAUCUACGCAUAAUAGGAAUUCCAGAAGGAGUAGAAAAAGAUAAGGGGGUGGAAAAUAUAUUUGAAGAAAUUAUUGCUGGAAACUUCCCAAAUCUAAAGGAUACUGAGUUCAAGAUACAGGAAGCACAAGUUGAACCCAAAUAGACCCAAGACACAUUAUAAUAAAAAUGGCAAAAGUUAGUGAUAAAGAGAGGAUCCUAAAGGCAGCAAGAGAAAAUCAGAAUGUUACCUAUAAGGGAACCCCCAUAAGGUUAUCAGCUGAUUUCUCUACAGAAACUCUACAGGCCAGGAGGGAAUGGCAAGAGAUAUUUAAAGUGCUAAAAGGAAAAAAAUAUACAACCUAGAAUACUCUAUCCAGCAAGAAUAUCAUUUAAAAAGAAGGAGAAAUAAAAAAUUUUUCCAACAAACAAAAGCUAAAAGAAUACAGAAAUACAAAACCCAGGCUUAAAGAAAUAUUGAAAGGGCUUCUCUAAACCAAAAAGAAAGGAUGAUUGAGGAAACCACAAUCAGAGAGCAGUCACUCUAAUAAGCCAGCAUACAGAUUUAAUCAUGAACAUGUUUCAAACAAAAUAAAAUUAAAAAUAAAAAAAGAGUCAUCAGAAUCAUAAAAUGUGGACAAGGGAAGUAAGGAAAUUAAUAGACUCUGUUAAAAAAUUUUUUUUGCUUGUUUGUUUCUCUUCUUAAUUUUAAUAUAGUAAUGAAGGGUUUGAACCUACAGGACCAUCAGGUCAAAACACACGAUUAUAGGAAGGGGUUAGCAUACUUAAAAAACAGGGCAACCACAAGCCAAAACCAAAUAUUGCAUU